rnacentral:rRNA from 1 species
CCUACGGGAGGCAGCAGUGAGGAAUAUUGGUCAAUGGACGAGAGUCUGAACCAGCCAAGUAGCGUGAAGGAUGACUGCCCUAUGGGUUGUAAACUUCUUUUAUAUGGGAAUAAAAUGUUCCACGUGUGGGAUUUUGUAUGUACCAUAUGAAUAAGGAUCGGCUCACUCCGUGCCAGCAGCCGCGGUAAUACGGAGGAUCCGAGCGUUAUCCGGAUUUAUUGGGUUUAAAGGGAGCGUAGGUGGAUUGUUAAGUCAGUUGUGAAAGUUUGCGGCUCAACCGUAAAAUUGCAUUUGAAACUGGCAGUCUUGAGUACAGUAGAGGUGGGCGGAAUUCGUGGUGUAGCGGUGAAAUGCUUAGAUAUCACGAAGAACUCCGAUUGCGAAGGCAGUUCACUGGACUGCAACUGACACUGAGGCUCGAAAGUGUGGGUAUCAAACAGGAUUAGAUACCCCUGUAGUC